UACGAAGGGGGCUAGCGUUGUUCGGAAUUACUGGGCGUAAAGGGCGCGUAGGCGGUGUGUCAAGUCAGGCGUGAAAGCCCCGGGCUCAACCUGGGAACUGCGCUUGAGACUGGCACGCUCGAGUUCGGGAGAGGAUGGUGGAAUUCCCAGUGUAGAGGUGAAAUUCGUAGAUAUUGGGAAGAACACCGGUGGCGAAGGCGGCCAUCUGGACCGAUACUGACGCUGAGGCGCGAAAGCGUGGGGAGCAAACAGG
rnacentral:rRNA from 1 species